rnacentral:lncRNA from 10 species
GGUUGUAUUAAUAGACAUACAGUAGCCAUAAUAAAGAAGAUAAACGUUCCCCCAUCUUCUAUAACCUAAAUGAGAAAGGAAUUGGUGAUGGUUAGCCUGGAGAAAGAAGGGAUUGGUGGAAGCACGGUGACAUUAGAACGCAUCAUAAACAUAUCUGUAGCAUGGGACAAUUGACCUGCCUAGAAGACGACUGGGCCAGGAGCAUGACAUAAUUUCAAGUCAGUUGAAGAAAAUAGAAAAGGAACUGCUGAGUAGACGUACUGGUCCAAGAACAGUGAAAGACAUGUAAAGCAGAUGUAACCCCAAACAACAGCUGAAGAAGAGUUGCCCAACUCCGCCAGCCUAGAUCAAACUGCAGUCAAAUGUACACCCUUGAGCAUGGGAAUAAAUUCAUGUUUUUGUAAAUCAUGA